GAUGAACGCUGGCGGCGUGCCUAAUACAUGCAAGUCGAGCGAACGGACGAGAAGCUUGCUUCUCUGAUGUUAGCGGCGGACGGGUGAGUAACACGUGGAUAACCUACCUAUAAGACUGGGAUAACUUCGGGAAACCGGAGCUAAUACCGGAUAAUAUUUUGAACCGCAUGGUUCAAAAGUGAAAGACGGUCUUGCUGUCACUUAUAGAUGGAUCCGCGCUGCAUUAGCUAGUUGGUAAGGUAACGGCUUACCAAGGCAACGAUGCAUAGCCGACCUGAGAGGGUGAUCGGCCACACUGGAACUGAGACACGGUCCAGACUCCUACGGGAGGCAGCAGUAGGGAAUCUUCCGCAAUGGGCGAAAGCCUGACGGAGCAACGCCGCGUGAGUGAUGAAGGUCUUCGGAUCGUAAAACUCUGUUAUUAGGGAAGAACAUAUGUGUAAGUAACUGUGCACAUCUUGACGGUACCUAAUCAGAAAGCCACGGCUAACUACGUGCCAGCAGCCGCGGUAAUACGUAGGUGGCAAGCGUUAUCCGGAAUUAUUGAGCGUCAAGCGCGCGUAGGCGGUUUUUUAAGUCUGAUGUGAAAGCCCACGGCUCAUCCGUGGAGGGUCAUUGGAAACUGGAAAACUUGAGUGCAGAAGAGGAAAGUGGAAUUCCAUGUGUAGCGGUGAAAUGCGCAGAGAUAUGGAGGAACACCAGUGGCGAAGGCGACUUUCUGGUCUGUAACUGACGCUGAUGUGCGAAAGCGUGGGGAUCAAACAGGAUUAGAUACCCUGGUAGUCCACGCCGUAAACGAUGAGUGCUAAGUGUUAGGGGGUUUCCGCCCCUUAGUGCUGCAGCUAACGCAUUAAGCACUCCGCCUGGGGAGUACGACCGCAAGGUUGAAACUCAAAGGAAUUGACGGGGACCCGCACAAGCGGUGGAGCAUGUGGUUUAAUUCGAAGCAACGCGAAGAACCUUACCAAAUCUUGACAUCCUUUGACAACUCUAGAGAUAGAGCCUUCCCCUUCGGGGGACAAAGUGACAGGUGGUGCAUGGUUGUCGUCAGCUCGUGUCGUGAGAUGUUGGGUUAAGUCCCGCAACGAGCGCAACCCUUAAGCUUAGUUGCCAUCAUUAAGUUGGGCACCCUAAGUUGACUGCCGGUGACAAACCGGAGGAAGGUGGGGAUGACGUCAAAUCAUCAUGCCCCUUAUGAUCUGGGCUACACACGUGCUACAAUGGACAAUACAAAGGGCAGCGAAACCGCGAGGUCAAGCAAAUCCCAUAAAGUUGUUCUCAGUUCGGAUUGUAGUCUGCAACUCGACUACAUGAAGCUGGAAUCGCUAGUAAUCGUAGAUCAGCAUGCUACGGUGAAUACGUUCCCGGGUCU
rnacentral:rRNA from 1 species